rnacentral:rRNA from 1 species
GACGAACGCUGGCGGCGUGCCUAAUACAUGCAAGUAGAACGCUGGAGCGAGGAGCUUGCUCUUCUUGUAUUAGUUGCGAACGGGUGAGUAACGCGUAGGUAACCUGCCUGGUAGCGGGGGAUAACUAUGGGAAACGAUAGCUAAUACCGCAUAAUAGUAGAUGUUGCAUGACAUUUGCUUAAAAGGCGCAAUUGCAUCACUACCAGAUGGACCUGCGUUGGCUUAGCUAGUUGGUGAGGUAACGGCUCACCAAGGCAAAGAUACAUAGCCGGACCGAGAGGGUGGACGGGCACACUGGGACUGAGACACGGCCCAGACUCCUACGGGAGGGAGCAGUAGGGAAUCUUCGGCAAUGGACGGAAGUCUGACCGGGGAACGCCGCGGGAGUGAAGAAGGUUUUCGGAUCGUAAAGCUCUGUUGUAAGAGAAGAACGAGUGUGAGAGUGGAAAGUUCACACUGUGACGGUAUCUUACCAGAAAGGGACGGCUAACUACGUG